rnacentral:pre_miRNA from 1 species
UUUCUAUUCCCUCCGUCCGAAAAUACUUGUCAUCAAAAUGGAUAAAAAGAGAUGUAUCUAAAACUAAAAUACGUCUAGAUACAUUUCCUUUUAUCCAUUUUGAUGACAAGUAUUUUCGGACGGAGGGAAUAUUUG